UACGUAGGGGGCGAGCGUUGUCCGGAUUUAUUGGGCGUAAAGAGCGUGUAGGCGGCCAGGUAGGUCUGCUGUGAAAACUCGAGGCUCAACCUCGAGACGUCGGCGGAAACCAUCUGGCUAGAGUCCGGAAGAGGAGAGUGGAAUUCCUGGUGUAGCGGUGAAAUGCGCAGAUAUCAGGAGGAACACCCGUGGCGAAAGCGGCUCUCUGGGACGGUACUGACGCUGAGGAGCGAAAGCGUGGGGAGCGAACAGG
rnacentral:rRNA from 1 species